AUUGAACGCUGGCGGCAGGCCUAACACAUGCAAGUCGAGCGAGCGGCGGACGGGUGAGUAAUGUAUGGAAAACUGCCUGAUGGAGGGGGAUAACGACUGGAAACGGUAGCUAAUACCGCAUAACAUCAGAUGAUCACAGAUGGGGGUAGCUAGGAGGUGUGGUAACUGCUCACCUAGGCGACGAUCCCUAGCUGGUCUGAGAGGAUGACCAGCCACACUGGAACUGAGACACGGUCCAGACUCCUACGGGAGGCAGCAUUGGGGAAUAUUGCACAAUUGGCGCAAGCCUGAUGCAGCCAUGCCGCGUGUGUGAAGAAGGCCUUCGGGUUGUAAAGCACUUUCAGCGGGGAGGCGUUACCCGCAGAAGAAGCACCGGCUAACUCCGUGCCAGCAGCCGCGGUAAUAC
rnacentral:rRNA from 1 species